rnacentral:rRNA from 1 species
GUCGAGGGGUAUAGUAGCAAUACUAGAGACCGGCGCACGGGUGCGUAACGCGUAUGCAAUCUACCUUUUACAGAGGGAUAGCCCAGAGAAAUUUGGAUUAAUACCUCAUAGUAUGUGAGAAUGGCAUCAUUUUCACAUUAAAGUCACAACGGUAAAAGAUGAGCAUGCGUCCCAUUAGCUAGUUGGUAAGGUAACGGCUUACCAAGGCUACGAUGGGUAGGGGUCCUGAGAGGGAGAUCCCCCACACUGGUACUGAGACACGGACCAGACUCCUACGGGAGGCAGCAGUGAGGAAUAUUGGUCAAUGGGCGCAAGCCUGAACCAGCCAUGCCGCGUGCAGGAUGACGGUCCUAUGGAUUGUAAACUGCUUUUGUACAGGAAGAAACAACUCUACGAGUAGAGUCUUGACGGUACUGUAAGAAUAAGGAUCGGCUAACUCCGUGCCAGCAGCCGCGGUAAUACGGAGGAUCCAAGCGUUAUCCGGAAUCAUUGGGUUUAAAGGGUCCGUAGGCGGUUUAGUAAGUCAGUGGUGAAAGCCCAUCGCUCAACGGUGGAACGGCCAUUGAUACUGCUAGACUUGAAUUAUUAGGAAGUAACUAGAAUAUGUAGUGUAGCGGUGAAAUGCUUAGAGAUUACAUGGAAUACCAAUUGCGAAGGCAGGUUACUACUAAUGGAUUGACGCUGAUGGACGAAAGCGUGGGUAGCGAACAGGAUUAGAUACCCUGGUAGUCCACGCCGUAAACGAUGGAUACUAGCUGUUGG